rnacentral:rRNA from 1 species
UACGGAGGGAGCUAGCGUUGUUCGGACUUACUGGGCGUAAAGCGCACGUAGGCGGCGAUUCAAGUCAGAGGUGAAAGCCCGGGGCUCAACCCCGGAACUGCCUUUGAAACUAGAUUGCUAGAAUCCUGGAGAGGUGAGUGGAAUUCCGAGUGUAGAGGUGAAAUUCGUAGAUAUUCGGAAGAACACCAGUGGCGAAGGCGACUCACUGGACAGGUAUUGACGCUGAGGUGCGAAAGCGUGGGGAGCAAACAGG